rnacentral:lncRNA from 1 species
UAUCGCGCGUUUAAGACUGAGAGGAGGAGGAGGCCUAGGAGAGGCAUCGGGCUCCGGCAGAGCAAUCUUCUGAUCGACGCAGCAAACCUGACGAUCUGAGAGGAGGAGCAAGCCUAGGAGAGGCAUCCUGCAUCAGCGGAACAACCUGAUGGCAACGUAGCUUCGAAAUCGACUCCGCUGUUGCGCAUCAGUGUCGGUAAGUCAAAAACUUUUAUUUAAUUUUAAGGUAAUGGAUUUGUGGAGUUUAUAGAUCCGUUACCUUAAAAUGA